CUCAGGCACCAGCGCGCUUUCAAAUCCACCCCGUGCCGCCCAUGGGACGCUCCACGCAAGGUCGGCGGCGCAGCCCCAACCUCGGAUUGGGUCGAUCGGCAACCAACCGGGAGUUGCUCCAGCGGAAGGCAUCUGAGGCUAGCUCUUGGGAAAGAUGAUAUUGGACAAAUCCAUGAUUAGAGCCUUUGUGAUGUUAACCAUCCCUACUGCGCUGGAAUCGAUUACACACAUUUGGUGAAAGGCAAUUUGAAUGCAGGAUGCACAGCAUGUCCCCACCAUUGUUCAGCAUAGUUUAAAAUGGCAUUAAGACAGAAAGGUUGGUAUAAACAUGCAGAAAAUGUUCCCAGUGAAAUGUCCAGGCUUCUCCACUGCACACACAGCAACAGCUUUCUCACAUCCCCAAAGAAAAUAGAGAAAUUAGCAGCAUUUUACUAAUUGUUGCAAACAGGUUGAAGCCCAGUCCUGCGAGUGGGUGAGCACUCGUACUGUACCAGUGAAGUCUGAGCAGCCAUGUCUUAGAUUUGACCGUUUUGCCAAAGAAACUCUGUUUCCUGCUAUGUAGAAUAUUUGGGGUUGAAAAUUAACCUGAAGAUUAGAACUGGGACAAAACAGAACCCAGACUUCAACUGCAAAGCUAUGUCAGAUUUAUCUUUUUAAACAUUAGAUUAAAUUUCAGGGUGCAAACAUGGUGAAGUAUGAACUCUUUACAAAGAGCAGCAUCAUAAGAGGACUGAAAUCUAAGCAGAUUUUCACCAACUGUUUCAAGCUCCAUGGUUUUCUUUCUCUUUUGGGGCUUUGGGGGUUUUGCUAGUACAUAGCAACACAACUGGCUUCUUGUACUGAUGUUUAUGUCACUCAGAUAUCAAACAUCAGGAUUGUUCAGUUUCACUUGGAACAAGAUUGGCUGGCCUGCCUGACAGCACUCACGCAUAGCUACCCAGAGCCAUGGUGGUAACAGCUCUGAGAUCUUCUGGUGAUCGUGAGGCUGAAUGCUGGGAAAAACAUCUGUAAUGGACAGCUCGGCCCUGAUUUGAGGUGUGUAGCCAGAGUCUGCAGUGGCAAAGUGGUGGUCCAGAAGCCUUAUCAACCAUUUCUCAAUAUCUGUAAAGCCUAUCAGCAUGGCAGAAUGCAGUUCCGAGGCAAGAAAUGUGAGCUGCUGAACUGACUUAAGGACCAGCAGUAUUGCUACGUUAGCACAGAGCUCUGCUCAGUUUUAUAAAACCCAUGUUUCUUGUGGAGUCAAUGUUUGGCCAGUUGAGCUACCUGCCACAGCUUAAAAUCCACCUGAAGAAGUGCCAGUGCAGGUACAGAAAUAUCGGGUGGUAGGAUGCAGCAGGACAGAGGGGAAGGCAGGGCUGCAAACUAUCAUCUCAUCACCUUGGGCUCACUAGCCUGAAACUGUGCUCCUUGGAGCUGAAGACCUCAUUUCCAACCGCAUUGUGCAGAUAUCCUGUCAGUCCCUUACGUCGGCUCACGCUCCCGCUGCAGCCAGUGAUAAAACUGCUGUGGAAUUAAGGCUGGGCAGUACCGUCCCAACAGCUGGGAGCAGAAGCGUUAUGAAAUCUCCAAAACACCUCAGAGAAGUGGUACCUUCAGAAAUUGUAACCCUGCAGGAGCUAAAAGUGCUGAGAUCUCACAGAUCUCACAUGUCAGAGAUCUAUAGAGCUAAGCUGAAGGGACCCUCUGGUUUGUCUUAUACAACACAGGGUGGAGUUUCUCCAGUUAUCCUGGUUUUAUUCUAUAUAUCAAGUGGUUAACACACAAAACGAGAGGAGAAUUGUAAGCAACGUACUUUCUCUGUGACGCCCAGCAAAGGCCAGAUUUUCACAGUAAGCAGGGCUCUAUAUUUAGUAUCUUUUACAGGCGUAUUAAAAAAGGUCUGAACAAUUGUUGUCCAUCCAAUGAACCUACAUUUUAGAAAUGCUUUCUAGGCUUGGGAAGGUUUGAUGCAUCUGCUGUGUGGACUAGAGGGUGCGCAAUGUAAUUUCUUCCCCGCCUCUGUAUCAGGCAGCAUUCCCUAACGUCCCUUCUUUCCAGUAAAUAAACCCAUGCAUAAAUAAGACCCUAAAAAUAAUUUCUCUUUGAUAAAUAUUUUAGUGAAUAUUCCUGCUUGCACAGGGUUCUCUUUGGUUCCCCCGAAGCCAGAUCUGGCCCACAUACAGUGAAAAUGAGGCAUCAAGCAUCAAGUAAAAGGAAAGGGACUUUUUCUUCCUUUGUCUCCCAGCAAUGUUAACUUAGACAGCCACCAGCACAUGAUUAUUUACAUAAGGAGGGAACUGCAGAGCUGCUGCCAACUGCCCAUAGUGCCUGCCAAAAACAGAUGUUAGAUGUUACUGUUAGAAUAACGUCUUCUUCAGCUUGACAUGUGAGUGCUGCAAUCUUUAUUUAAAAGGAAGAGGAAAAAAUAUGGUUGAAUUAAUGAAAUGAAGCACACAACAUACGGUCUGAAAAAAUUAUAAUGUAAGGGAAAGUGCUAGUUGUCCAAUUGCCUAAGACUGCAAAAACUCAGCUGGGUGGAUUUGUCACAGAGAACUGUCCUGGUCUGUCAUGUAGAUGGAUCUGGUGACCUAAUAAGUCUGUUGAAUUGGUACAUUUUUACUCCCGUGCCUUCCAUGAGGCUCUAUAUUGACUGGGAUGCUGAUAAAUCCAGCGCUCUUUGUUAACAAAAAUCCACACAUGAAGUACCAGGCAGCCUUAUCACAAAAACUAUGAUUUAUGCUUGGGAUUUGCUAUGAUUUUGCAUUAAUCUGGGGGGUUCUAUAAAAACACUGUUCAGAUAAAGCUUUUGUAUUUUAUCUGCAAGGUAUUUUAUUCAUGUGUUUUAUAGGAAAAGAAGGAACCUGUCUGCAAAGGUGAACAAUGUUAUAAUUUAUUAUUUUGUUUGCCUGUCUUCCUGUGAGAAGGGACCUAAACCUCAUUGUCUACAGAGCUGAAAAGCUCACGUAUAUUGCAAUCAACCUUAUACAGUCAGCCUCUAUGAAGACUUGCAUUGUUGCUGGUACUGUGGGGUCAGUAGAACAAAUAAACUCUCAUUUUUGCA